AGCGAACGCUGGCGGCAGGCCUAAUACAUGCAAGUCGAACGGACCCUUCAGGGUUAGUGGCGGACGGGUGAGUAACACGUGGGAACGUGCCUUUAGGUUCGGAAUAGCUCCUGGAAACGGGUGGUAAUGCCGAAUGUGCCCUUCGGGGGAAAGAUUUAUCGCCUUUAGAGCGGCCCGCGUCUGAUUAGCUAGUUGGUGAGGUAAUGGCUCACCAAGGCGACGAUCAGUAGCUGGUCUGAGAGGAUGACCAGCCACACUGGGACUGAGACACGGCCCAGACUCCUACGGGAGGCAGCAGUGGGGAAUCUUGCGCAAUGGGCGAAAGCCUGACGCAGCCAUGCCGCGUGAAUGAUGAAGGUCUUAGGAUUGUAAAAUUCUUUCACCGGGGACGAUAAUGACGGUACCCGGAGAAGAAGCCCCGGCUAACUUCGUGCCAGCAGCCGCCGUAA
rnacentral:rRNA from 1 species